CAGACAUGACAGCCUGUUCUCAUUAUUAUGGAAAAUAUAGGGUUGGUGGUAAUUACUAUCUGAAUAUGAAUGGGAGCAGAAGUGUGCACAGCCUGCGCUGGCCUUUCUUUGACAAGAAGAAGUGGAUCUUGAAGAGGGAAUUCAAAGAGAAACCUGUGGCAACUGCAGUGAUACACACCUAGCAGGAUGAAACCCAACUGUACUGUGGAUGUCCGUUGUCUGAAUGGAUUUUGUUGUUGCUCUGUAAGUGUUUAGCACUGUGGUGGAUGGAUCUCUGACAUACAAAGAGUGAGAAGAGAAAUGAGACACACCUGGAAGAGAGACAGCCUGGCAGGUGGAAAUAUGGAGGCGUCGCAAGAGUACUGCAAGCUUUCAUAUGCUGCCCCAUCAGUGUACCUCAACCCUGACCUGGAGAGACCACUAGUGAUGGG